rnacentral:rRNA from 1 species
UAAAGAAUUUCGGUUAUCGAUGGGGAUGCGUUCCAUUAGUUAGUUGGCGGGGUAACGGCCCACCAAGACGACGAUGGAUAGGGGUUCUGAGAGGAAGGUCCCCCACAUUGGAACUGAGACACGGUCCAAACUCCUACGGGAGGCAGCAGUGAGGAAUAUUGGUCAAUGGACGAGAGUCUGAACCAGCCAAGUAGCGUGAAGGAUGACUGCCCUAUGGGUUGUAAACUUCUUUUAUAUGGGAAUAAAACAGGGUAUGCAUACCCUCUUGUAUGUACCAUAUGAAUAAGGAUCGGCUAACUCCGUGCCAGCAGCCGCGGUAAUACGGAGGAUCCGAGCGUUAUCCGGAUUUAUUGGGUUUAAAGGGAGCGUAGGUGGAUUGUUAAGUCAGUUGUGAAAGUUUGCGGCUCAACCGUAAAAUUGCAGUUGAAACUGGCAGUCUUGAGUACAGUAGAGGUGGGCGGAAUUCGUGGUGUAGCGGUGAAAUGCUUAGAUAUCACGAAGAACUCCGAUUGCGAAGGCAGCUCACUGGACUGCAACUGACACUGAUGCUCGAAAGUGUGGGUAUCAAACAGGAUUAGAUACCCUGGUAGUCCACACAGUAAACGAUGAAUACUCGCUGUUUGCGAUAU